UCAGCUCCUCUCCUCCCUCUGCUGGUAUAAAUGUUGUCAAGUCUGUUUUGCUGGAGGCCACUUUUUUCUUUCAUAUAUGAAGUAUUCCACAUGAAUCAAAUUCUCCCAAAGAUUUCUCUAUUGAUGGAAGAUUUCUUACCAAGUUUUUCAAGUUUCUACCAUUUGAUAGUAGAUGCAAAUUCGUCCCAAUUGCACUAAUGCGCUUCAGCUGAGAUGCUGUAUGCAUAUCUUUAUGCUCGCAUGCUGCUUGGUGUAAAUUUGGCUAUUCUGGAAGCAGAAUUUACGUGCAAGAUCUCCUCGGAAGAUCAAGGUUAUUUUAGACCAAAUCGAUUCUCUAAAUUAAUCGAUACUGUCGUCUCAGUUUCCAUAUUGCCAAUUGAAACCAUCCAAAGAACUCAGCGCAACACUUAGAUAUGCAUCGGCGGCGGUUGAGUGGUUCUUGCCGACACCAUAGGGUCUAGCAUCGGCCUCAACAGCGACGACGGCUGUCUGGCUGGAGUACCUCCUCCUCUGCGUCGGCUCCAGCUCCGACGCCUCGUCGACUGUCAAUCGAUCGAGCUUUCGUCGCUAAUGCAGGUGGUGACCAAUGGGCGGUUCAGGAGCAUCAAGCACCGGAUGAUGGUGCCGACGACUGAACCAUCGAUACCUGCUGGGUGUCAUUUUCUUCCAACUACACACGCGUGCCUAGUGAUCAGCCUGGAAGUACAAACGCCAGUCUGAUAUCUAUGCAACUGUUAAUUUGCUGACUUGCCAUUUUCUUAGAUCAACAUGAUUCCUCAACAGCACGCUUGCCUAACGACUGCUGUGAAACAAAUUGUAAAUCAUCCAUGAGCUAGACAAAUAUAAGUAGCCAUAUCCUGUUACAAUGCAUGGAGCUAGCAAAACAAUAGGAUUUUGGUUGAUGAUUAGAGUCGAGAGUGACCAAAAGCAUCACAGUUACCAGACCAUUAGUGGCCACCAAUAUCGUUUAGUGAAGAAUAUCGCUGGAAGUGAUCUCUGCAGUCA